UACAGAGGGGGCAAGCGUUGUUCGGAAUUACUGGGCGUAAAGGGCGCGUAGGCGGCCUGCUAAGUCGAACGUGAAAUCCCUGGGCUCAACCCAGGAACUGCGUCCGAUACUGGUUGGCUUGAAUCCGGGAGAGGGACGUGGAAUUCCAGGUGUAGCGGUGAAAUGCGUAGAUAUCUGGAGGAACACCGGUGGCGAAGGCGGCAUCCUGGACCAAUAUUGACGCUGAGGAGCGAAAGCCAGGGGAGCAAACGGG
rnacentral:rRNA from 1 species